rnacentral:rRNA from 1 species
UACAGAGGUCUCAAGCGUUGUUCGGAUUCAUUGGGCGUAAAGGGUGCGUAGGCGGCGCGGUAAGUCGGGUGUGAAAUUUCGAGGCUUAACUUCGAAACUGCAUUCGAUACUGCCGUGCUUGAGGACUGGAGAGGAGACUGGAAUUUACGGUGUAGCGGUGAAAUGCGUAGAUAUCGUAAGGAAGACCAGUGGCGAAGGCGGGUCUCUGGACAGUUCCUGACGCUGAGGAGCGAAAGCCAGGGGAGCAAACGGG